AACAGUGCUGACGGAAGAUUGGGGUGCAUUAUGCUAGUAGUAGCUAAUGUAGCCUCGAGCCUCUAGCCCCAAGCAGAGAUGAGGAGCAUGCUACAGAGGUCUGGUGAGCUCACCUCUUUCUAACUCCACACACCCACAUUGAUUUUAAUUUCAAACUUGCAGUCCAG